CCUACGGGGUGCAGCAGUGAGGAAUUUUGCGCAAUGGGGGCAACCCUGACGCAGCAACGCCGCGUGAGUGAAGAAGGCCUUUGGGUCGUAAAGCUCUGUCAACAAGGAAGAAAUUACAAUUAUUUAAUAGAUAAUUGUAUUGACGGUACUUGUGGAGGAAGCGCCGGCUAACUCCGUGCCAGCAGCCGCGGUAACACGGGGGGCGCAAGCGUUAUUCGGAAUUAUUGGGCGUAAAGGGCGCGCAGGCGGUCUUGUCCGUCAGGUGUGAAAGCUCGGGGCUCAACCCCGGAAGUGCACUUGAAACAGCAAGACUUGAAUACGGGAGAGGAGAGAGGAAUUCCUGGUGUAGAGGUGAAAUUCGUAGAUAUCAGGAGGAACACCGAUGGCGAAGGCAUCUCUCUGGACCGAUAUUGACGCUGAGGCGCGAAGGCGUGGGUAGCGAACGGGAUUAGAUACCCCCGUAGUC
rnacentral:rRNA from 1 species